CCUGCCUUAGCUCAGUAGGUAGAGCGUCAGAUUGUGGUUCUGAAUGUCGCCGGUUCGAUCCCUGCAGGCAGGA
rnacentral:tRNA from 2 species